UCUUUAGUUGAAGAGAACUGGAAAGUUCCGUCGUAGAAGGUAAUAACCCUGUAGGCGAAAAGGAAAGAAAAGUAGAUCUACUCCAGAGUACCACGAGACCCGUGAAACCUUGUGGGAAGCUGGGAGGACCAUCUCCCAAGGCUAAAUACUACCUAGUGACCGAUAGUGAAGCAGUACCGUGAGGGAAAGGUGAAAAGAACCCCGGAAGGGGAGUGAAAUAGAAUCUGAAACCGUGUGCCUACAAUCGGUCGGAGCACAUUAAAGUGUGACGGCGUACUUUUUGUAGAACGGGCCAGCGAGUUACGAUAUAUAGCAAGGUUAAGCACUUAUGGUGUGGAGCCGAAGGGAAACCGAGUCUGAAUAGGGCAACUAGUUGUAUAUUGUAGACCCGAAACCGGGUGACCUAUCCAUGGCCAGGAUGAAGCGGAAGUAAAAUUCCGUGGAGGUCCGAACCACGUUGGUGUUGAAAAACCAUGGGAUGAGCUGUGGAUAGCGGAGAAAUUCCAAUCGAACUCGGAGAUAGCUGGUUCUCCUCGAAAUAGCUUUAGGGCUAGCGUCGGGUAAUUGAGUAGUGGAGGUAGAGCACUGAAUGGGCUAGGGGCUGACAACAGUUACUGAACCCUAUCAAACUCCGAAUGCCAUAUACUUGUACCCCGGCAGUCAGACUACGAAUGAUAAGAUCCGUGGUCAAAAGG
rnacentral:rRNA from 1 species